rnacentral:pre_miRNA from 1 species
UGUGGUGAUAUUCAAAAUAUACAUUUUAUUUUUGGCAAUCAUUUUUCUUUAUAAAUUCAAAAGUCAUUUUUCUUUCUAAAAACACAAUAAUAUAUAUAUAUAUAUAUAUAUAACCAACCUUUUAAUUUUUAAAAAGAAAAAUGAAUUUAUAAGAAAAAUGAUUGCCAAAAAGAAAAUGUAUAUUUUGUUAUAUUACCAAAA